UACGAAGGGGGCUAGCGUUGCUCGGAAUCACUGGGCGUAAAGCGCACGUAGGCGGAUUGCUAAGUCAGGGGUGAAAUCCUGGAGCUCAACUCCAGAACUGCCUUUGAUACUGGUGAUCUCGAGUCCGGGAGAGGUGAGUGGAACUGCGAGUGUAGAGGUGAAAUUCGUAGAUAUUAGCUAGAACACCAGUGGCGAAGGCGGCCGACUGGUCCGACACUGACGCUGAGGUGCGAAAGCGUGGGGAGCAAACAGG
rnacentral:rRNA from 1 species